rnacentral:lncRNA from 1 species
AAUCGCAGCGGAUCCGUGUGGUUGCCGUCAGUAAAACCAAACCCGUCUCCGUCAUUCGCCAAGUGUACGACGCUGGCCAUCGCUGUUUCGGUGAAAACUAUGUCCAGGAAAUCGUCGAAAAAGCUCCUCAGGUUCUUUUCUCAUUUCCUUCGAAAAGAAAAAAACAUGGAAUUUGUCAUACUUUUCUUACAUACAAGGACUAUUUUACAUUUUAAAAAUAAAGCACCAAAGUAAUAAAAUUGUUUUGCCUACAAUUGCAGCUUCCGGAUGACAUAGAGUGGCAUUUUAUUGGGAACUUGCAGAGCAAUA